CUUACACCCCCACCGGUCACCUUCUGUUUUUCUCUGUCUAGUUGUGAUGAAUCCUAAACUGAAAAUAGCUGGAAUUACCGUCAGAUUGUACAGUGGUGAUAUUCGGUUUUCUGAACAUGACUGAUUAUGAGUUUUCAUUUGCUUAUGAUUGUACAUUUUCACUCAAACGGUUUUACUUUUCAUGUAGGCUKCCUUCGCAUAACAUCCCUGCAGUCUCAGAAGUGGACAUGUAGACUGGGGUGUUCCUCGUCGGCUGUUUGAUGCCCCUUGAUUUCAGCACCCACCUACCUUUCAGGUGCACAUUCACCCAUCGCAAUUUAUAAGACACUUUUCUGUCUUUUAGUUUUGUUCAGUGGUGACAUUUACUUCUGAACAUAAGUUGUGUAAAUGUUAUACUGUGAAACUUACCCUAUUAAAGAAGUAUAACUGUAUAUGCCUUCAGCGUGUUCACGCCCUUUGACUCUAUUCCACAUUUUGMUACAGCAUGAAUUAYGUUGAAGUUGUCACUGGCCUACACACAAUACCCRGUGUCGGAUGAAUAUUUKAAAAUAUAUAUAUUUUAAAUGUGAACUUUAUGUAUUAACCCUUUUGUUAUGGAAGCCUAUAAAGUUACAAGUAAAAUUUGCCUAGUAAUUCAGAUUUAGCAUGGACUUGCUGUGUGCCAUYGCGUUUAAAAAAAUGUUUUUGCAUGACUACCUUAUCUCUACCCCACGCAAUUAUCUGUAAGGUCACUAAGUCAGGCGAGAAAUUCAAACAGACAUGGAGGUUUUCUAAGGCCACCUAAUGGUGGAGGGGGUAAAAUUGCUGUUAAAUAUCCCGUUAAGGYUGGUUAAUUUUUGCUUUGGAUGGUGACUCAAACUCAUUCACUACAAAGACACAGGUGUCUUAACACAGUUGCUGCAGCAGAAGGAAACCACUMGGUUUUCAGAAGCAAAUGUUGAUUUAAUGACAGACGAUCAGCGUUGUGGUGAAGCCUGUUGGCUARGAGCUUGAAAUAAACUUAAUCAUGUCACAAAUUUACUUGUCUGUUGAUCAAUGAAGGGUAGAUGGGGAUUUAGUCUGUGGCAAGUUAAUAUUUUUUUUAGUCAGACCAGCUGCAACACGAGCAAGGAAUGGGGUCGAGGCAACAAGGUUUGAGAAGAUCUCGGGGGCCAGAUGCCCGGAGGCCCACCACAGGGACUCGAAUCACUUUUUGUCACGUGCUGAAUAGUGAACAUUACCAUGAAAUGCUUACUUGCAAUCCCUUUACCAGCAAUGCAGGUAAAGUGACAAUGCGUGAAUAAACGGUGCUGGGAAGCAGCGUUAAAGGGAUCGAUGCAAAUAGUCCAGGUAGCCAUUUGUUUAGCAUUCUUGGGGGAUGUAGCCAUUUGAACCUGGACUUCGUGUGCUGGUGUAUUKGCGGAACAGUAUGACUUGGGUGGCUGGUGUCGGGCUUUUUUUUUUUUUUUUAGGGCAUUCGAAACCUCGUAUAGAGGUCAUAUUUUCCAAAUGGAGGCCGAGGGAGAGUUUUCUACCCAUCUGUAUGGAGUGAAGUUUUUURCCCCCGCUUAUUGCACGUGUGACAUACAGUUAGCAAUAGCAAUUGGGUAACGCAUUUCAGUUUGCCUGCAUUAAGGUCCCCGGKCCCUGGGCGCCCCUUCUGGAUGAGCCGUUUAACUUAUGACCGUAUACAACUCGUUGACUGCAGUCUUAGAGCCAGCAUCGGUUUGUGGUAUGUAGGCAGCUACAAAAAAUAUAUUUAACUCUUGGUAGGUAGUGUGGUGUCAAUGUAUCUGCCGGAAAAGUGAUAGAUGCAAAAAGUAAUAUUUAAAUGCAUGUGUAGAACCAAUAUUUAUUGACGCACUUAACAUGUACAGUGCCUUCAGAAUAUUCAAACACCUUGACAUUCCACAUUUGGUUGCUACUGCUGGUUUUCGCGUUGUCAUUUAUGGGGUAAUGUGUGUGGAUUGCUGAGGGGGAAAAUAUAUUUAAUCAUUUUUUGAAUAAGGCUGUAACGUAGCAAAAUGUGGAAAAAGUCAAGGGGUCUGAAUACUUUCCGUAGACACUAUCCCUUUUGUUAAAUCUAUGUUCUGCCAGUGUCUGCUAAAUUGAGUUAAUUCGAAUGUUAGACUCAAUAUUGGUGUCAGACUGCUGAAGAAACAAGGACCGCCAAGGGCAGUGUUGUCGUUUUUAUCGUGUGAAAAUUGGACUUCCUGGUGUUUUUAGAACACUGUUGUGAGAUUAGGAUGUCUGAGAAAUUUGUAGCCGAAAUACUGCUGAGAUAUGUAUCCAAUGACGAUGAUUAGAAGUAUGAUGCAUGAUCUGUUUAAUACAUCAUUGAUGUAAUGUCUCUUCAGGGUCACUGACUGUCGGGCAGGUUUAUUAUGGGGUUAUGGUAUCUAAUCACAUGUUCUGUGCACUUGGAUGAUUUGUAUGUAUAGUCUAUAAAAUCCCAAAGGAACUAGGCACGGAAGGAUGAAACGACGAACAGAUGAGGAAGAGUAUAUAUGCCCGCUUUACGUCUUGAGGGAGAGGAUUAUUACGAUACUUGUAGAAGUGUCGUUUUGGUCUCCCUGUGCACAGUUUGUAAUAAAAGUCGUAGAAACGG